ensembl:lncRNA
CUUUGGUGUUUCUGUAAAUCCACGGGAGAUGACGGUUGGUCCCCGUAUCGCCCAAGGAUAAGGACACUUAUCUCUCAAAAUUGCAGUCCUGAGAGACAUCGGCAGGUCGGCUGAGGCACGGAGCGGCUUCUCGUCCCGCUGCGCCUGUUUGAUAGACGAUGGCGGCGCGAGCACUUUGCUCUCCGUGUGGAAACACGUCACAGACUCCGGGGGCCGGUGGAGGCAAACAUGGGGCCCCCUGAUUAGGAACCAAUGACAGAACUACUGGCAGGGACAAAAAUGUUGGUGGUUUAUCGAAUGCACGUUUGUUUUCUACCUCUCAAAUGUGAGGAUGCGCCGCUUUUUCUCUGUCUGAUGUCGUCAAAUAUGCUAAAAAAGUUUCUUAUGGAGAUCUUGGAUGAUAAUGCUGUUCUUUUCCUGUUAACCAAAAGCGUCUUGGCUUCUCCUCCACAAAUGUUCAACCUGCAUCCAGGAACAAAGGUGCAGUGACUUUUCCUCUGCAGAAUCCAUUACAAAGCUCUUUAACUGGUGCUUCCAUGAACUAAGGAGCGUCGAUAAUAUUCUGUCUUUUCUCUCUUGUCCCCCAAAGUGUUUUAGAUGUUUUAAUAUCAUCCCAGAUUCCUGUAACGCACUGUAUUAAGAUAUAAAGCUCGGGUUGCUAAUGUUGACUAACUAGCGUACCGGAUCGCCGAAGUCGCUAAAGAAAAAAAAAGAAUCUGUUUAAUUUGCCCCUUUAUAAAUUGUUCCAUUUAUUAGUGGAGAACAAAGAACACAUGGAGUUAAUUGUCAUGUCUAAUCUUAAUUAGUCUGGAGUUCUGCCCACAUUCUCUAAGGCCACCCAACUAAACUCCGUCCACUAGAAUAAUGGAAAUACUCACUUGUGCUUCAACUAGUAGAUUCUGUCUUUACCUGCUGUCAUUUAUCACCAAUGCUCAUGUGUACGUGCGACCACACAAUGACAGAAAUAAGCC